rnacentral:rRNA from 1 species
AAUGUUUUCAUUAAUCAAGAACGAAAGUUAGAGGUUCGAAGGCGAUCAGAUACCGCCCUAGUUCUAACCGUAAACUAUGCCUACUAGGUGUAUGAAUUAUUAGUUAUAAUAAUUUAUGGACCUUCUCGGAAACGAAAGUCUUUCGGUUCCGGGGGAAGUAUGGUUGCAAAGCUGAAACUUAAAGGAAUUGACGGAAGGGCACCACCAGGAGUGGAGCCUGCGGCUUAAUUUGACUCAACACGGGAAAACUCACCCGGGCCGGACACUAUAAGGAUUGACAGAUUGAUAGCUCUUUCAUGAUUUAGUGGUUGGUGGUGCAUGGCCGUUCUUAGUUCGUGGAUAUGAUUUGUCUGGUUGAUUCCGAUAACGAGCGAGACUUUUAUGUUAUAUUAAAUAAUAUUAUUUUAAAUUUUAUUUAAUAAUAUUUUAUUUUAAUAACAGAUUAAUAGUGUUUAACUAUUUGAGAGAGAGCAAUAACAGGUCUGUGAUGCCCUUAGAUGUCCGGGGCUGCACGCGCGCUACAAU